rnacentral:rRNA from 1 species
UACGGAGGGGGCAAGCGUUAUUCGGAAUUAUUGGGCGUAAAGGGCGCGUAGGCGGCUAGAUGUGUCAAAGGUGAAAUCCCUCGGCUCAACUGAGGAACUGCCUUUGAAACUGUCUGGCUUGAGGCCGGGAGAGGGUAGCGGAAUUCCCAGUGUAGCGGUGAAAUGCGUAGAUAUUGGGAGGAACACCAGUGGCGAAGGCGGCUAGCUGGACCGGAUCUGACGCUGAGGCGCGAAAGCGUGGGUAGCAAACAGG